UCCGGCUCUCGUUAGGAUCACUGAAGUCAAGCAUCAGUGGUGGAGGUCAGUACUUGGGUGGGUGACCACCUGGGGGAACACCGGUUGCCGU